rnacentral:tRNA from 9 species
GCGGCUGUAGCUCAGCUGGAUAGAGUAUCUGGCUUCGAACCAGGUGGUCGCAGGUUCGAAUCCUGCCAGCCGCGCCA